rnacentral:rRNA from 1 species
CCCUUAGAUGUUCUGGGCUGCACGCGCGCUACACUGAAGCUAUCAACACGUUUUCCCUCCCUGAGAAGGGCGGGUAACCUUUUGAAUCAGCUUCGUGGUAGGGAUCGGGGCUUGCAAUUGUUCCCCGUGAACCAGGAAUUCCUAGUAGACGCGAGUCAUAAGCUCGCAUCGAUUAAGUCCCUGCCCUUUGUACACACCGCCCGUCGCUCCUACCGAUUGAAUGAUCCGGUGAGUUUUUUGGACUGUGGCAACGGUCUUGGUUCGCCAAACUGAUGCCGCGGGAAGAUACGCAAACCUUAUCAUUUAGAGGAAGGAGAAGUCGUAACA